rnacentral:rRNA from 1 species
AUUGAACGCUGGCGGCAGGCCUAACACAUGCAAGUCGAACGAGUGGCGGACGGGUGAGUAAUGUCUGGGAACCUGCCUGAUGGAGGGGGAUAACUACUGGAAACGGUAGCUAAUACCGCAUACCAUCAGAUGUGCCCAGAUGGGAUUAGCUUGUUGGUGGGGUAACGGCUCACCAAGGCGACGAUCCCUAGCUGGUCUGAGAGGAUGACAAGCCGCACUGGAACUGGAACAGGGUCCAGACUCCUACGGGAGGCAGCAGUGGGGAAUAUUGCGCAAUGGGGGCAAGCCUGAUGCAGCCAUGCCGCGUGUAUGAAGAAGGCCUUGGGGUUGUAAAGUACUUUCAGCGGGGAGGCGUUACCCGCAGAAGAAGCACCGGCUAACUCCGUGCCAGCAGCCGCGGUAAUAC